AUAGUACUCCCUCCGUUCGGAAUUACUUGUCACAAAAAUGGAUUUAUCUACAACUAAAAUACAUCUAGAUGCAUUCAUUUCUUGGACGAGUAAUUCCGAACGGAGGGAGUAUUUG
rnacentral:pre_miRNA from 1 species